AGGGGGCUCCCGCCUCCCCGGCCACGCGAGCGGGAACAGUCUCCUCCACUCGGAGCGGCGCCAUCUUCAGCUCUGAGUCACCAGGGCUGGAAAAAUACUAGAUGCGCUACUCGUGGACUCGUGAAUACACUCGUGAAUACAGGCCAUUUCCUGUACCUACAGCCACCCGCUAGUUCAUCCAGUCCUCCAUGUUAGGAUGCAGCAACCAGGUAUAAUCUUGGAAGCAGAGACAGACCCUCACCAGACACAGUCUCCUGGGACCUUGAUCUUGGACCUUCCAGCCUCUAAAACUAUCUACAGCUGGGGUUCUCUUCUGGCUCUCCUGCCAAGGCCAAUCAGAUCGCAAUACAAAAAAGUAACACUUUCCAGCAUUCUGUAGAGUCUGAUUUUCUAAACAGUUCUUUAGAUUUUAAUGCAUCUCAAUAAUAGUUAUAAGUAACAUUUUAUUUUUUUCUGUGGCAGAUUAGGCCUCCUGCAAAAUAGUCAUUUUCAAAAAUUGUCUAAGAUUCAGAUGCCGCACCCAAUGUUUAUGCUUUUUGCAGCAAUAUGGUCCUAAUUCAACAUCAUGCAGCGUGCAAAUCAGUGUUUCUUCUAACUUCAACAGUGAUAAAUAUUUAUUAAGCCUCCACUAUGUUCAUGGAACUAUACCAGGUGCUGCUAUAACUAUUUUUCCUUUCCAGGAAAAAUAAAUUCAAAUAUGGAAUAAAAAGCCCAAACUCAUGAAACUGGACUGACUUUGCUUCUUAAAAAUUCAACAUGCUGCAGCUGCAUGCUUAAACCUGGUUCAAACAGGAUGAUGAAAUAAAACAUUAUUAUUGUGGGAAUAUAACACUGUCUAAAUAAAUAGCCAACAUGAAAACUGUCUCUAAAACCCAUAGCAUCUGUAUGUGCAGACUGUAAGUAAGUUAUAUAAUUCCUCCACUAUUCUGUAACAUGGCCAAUUCAGAAUGUCUUACCAUUAAUCUUGAAGACAUUUAAAGAUGUUCACUUUUCUAACUCUUCCCUUUGAAAAUAUAUUUGAACCUUAUUUGCAAUAAAAAUCUCAUAAUAUUGUA
rnacentral:lncRNA from 1 species